AGAGUUUGAUUCUGGCUCAGAACGAACGCUGGCGGCAGGCUUAACACAUGCAAGUCGAACGAUAUAGUGGCAGACGGGUGAGUAACGCGUGGAAACGUGCCUUUCACUACGGAAUAGCUUUUGGAAACGAAAGGUAAUACCGUAUACGCCCUCCGGGGGAAAGAUUUAUCGGUGAAAGAUCGGUCCGCGUUAGAUUAGCUAGUUGGUGAGGUAACGGCUCACCAAGGCUACGAUCUAUAGCUGGUCUGAGAGGAUGAUCAGCCACACUGGGACUGAGACACGGCCCAGACUCCUACGGGAGGCAGCAGUGGGGAAUAUUGCACAAUGGGCGCAAGCCUGAUGCAGCCAUGCCGCGUGAAUGAUGAAGGCCUUAGGGUUGUAAAAUUCUUUCGCCAAGGAUGAUAAUGACAGUACUUGGUAAAGAAGCCCCGGCUAACUUCGUGCCAGCAGCCGCGGUAAUACGAAGGGGGCUAGCGUUGUUCGGAAUUACUGGGCGUAAAGCGCAUAGGCGGACUUUUAAGUCAGAUGUGAAAUCCCAAGGCUCAACCUUGGAACUGCAUUUGAAACUGGGAGUCUAGAGAUCAGGAGAGGUUAGUGGAAUACCGAGUGUAGAGGUGAAAUUCGUAGAUAUUCGGUGGAACACCAGUGGCGAAGGCGACUAACUGGACUGAUACUGACGCUGAGGUACGAAAGUGUGGGGAGCAAACAGGAUUAGAUACCCUGGUAGUCCACACCGUAAACGAUGAGAGCUAGUUGUCUGCAGGCAUGCCUGUAGGUGACGCAGCUAACGCAUUAAGCUCUCCGCCUGGGGAGUACGGCCGCAAGGUUAAAACUCAAAGAAAUUGACGGGGGCCCGCACAAGCGGUGGAGCAUGUGGUUUAAUUCGAAGCAACGCGAAGAACCUUACCUACGCUUGACAUGCCUGGACGACUCCGAGAGAUCGGUUUCUCCCUUCGGGGCCAGUGCACAGGUGCUGCAUGGCUGUCGUCAGCUCGUCGUGAGAUGUUGGGUUAAGUCCCGCAACGAGCGCAACCCUCAUCCUUAGUUGCCAUCACGUUUGGGUGGGCACUCUAGGGAAACUGCCGGUGCUAAGCCGGAGGAAGGCGGGGAUGACGUCAAGUCCUCAUGGCCCUUACGCGUAGGGCUACACACGUGCUACAAUGGCAGUGACAAUGGGAUAAUCCCCAAAAGCUGUCUCAGUUCGGAUUGUCGGCUGCAACUCGCCGGCAUGAAGUUGGAAUCGCUAGUAAUCGUGGAUCAGCAUGCCACGGUGAAUACGUUCCCGGGCCUUGUACACACCGCCCGUCACAUCACGAAAGUUAGUUGCUCUUGAAGUCGCUGAGUUAACCCUCGGGAGACAGGCGCCGACAGAGUGGCUGGCGAUUGGGGUGAAGUCGUAACAAGGUAGCUGUAGGAGAACCUGCGGCUGGAUCACCUCCUU
rnacentral:rRNA from 1 species